CCCGUGAGCAUGUCUGUGAGAGAGUCCCUUGAUGGCUAGUUGGUGGGGAACCUGGUUGGGAGGUGGGCAGCACCAUUUCAUGGGCGUGAUCCUGAACUGCGUGAGAGAAGAAAGCAUGGGCAGUCAGGCCCUGGACUGAGGAACGAUUGUAAGAGCCGGCGGUGGUGGAAGACUCCAAGGAAACAACAUCUUCCAGACACAGUGCAGUGUGACCAGCCUCCUCCUCCUUCCACAAUGUCUUCCUCCCUGUGAUGGACAGCACCCUCAGACCGGUUUCUCUGUUGCUUUGGUGCCUGUUCUGGAACUUGCUUUGUUGACCAAGAUGGCCUCGAAUUCACAGAGAUCCACCUGAUGCUGAGUCCUCCUGAGUGCUGGGAUUAAAGACAUGCACUACCACAGCCCAGUCAUAAACACGUGUUAAAUAGCUACUAUACACCAGACGCUGUACUUAGGUUAUGAAUAAAAAUG